UAUAAAAACCCAACAUCGUUCACGACGAAGCUACGAUUCUUUUGGUCACGAAUCCCAAGACGAAGAUUCCGAAAAGAAAGGAAUUGUAAAAAGCAAACAUAGUCUUCAACGAAGCCACAUAUCCUUACUUCAUAAAUCCCAAGAUGACGAUUCCGAAAAGAAAGAAAUCAUAAAAAGCAAACAUAGUCUUCAACGCAGCCACGCAUCUUUACGUUAUGAAUCCCAAGACGAUUCUGGAAAGAAAGAAAUCAUAAAAAGCAAACAUAGUCUUCGCCGAAGCGGUGCAUCUCUACGUCAUGAAUCCCAAGACGAUUCUGAAAAGAAAGAAAUCAUAAAGAGCAAACAUAGUCUUCAACGUAGCCACGCAUCUCUACGUCUUGAAUCUCAAG